AUUGAACGCUGGCGGCAGGCCUAACACAUGCAAGUCGAACGAGUGGCGGAAGGGAGAGUAAUGUCUGGGCCACUGCCCGAUGGAGGGGGAUCACUACUGGAAACAGUAGCUAAUACCGCCUACCAUCGGAUGUGCCCAGAUGGGAUUAGCUAGUAGGUGGGGUAACGGCACACCUAGGCGACGAUCCCUAGCUGGUCUGAGAGGAUGACCAGCCACACUGGAACUGAGACACGGUCCAGACUCCUACGGGAGGCAGCAGUGGGGAAUAUUGCACAAUGGGCGCAAGCCUGAUGCAGCCAUGCCGCGUGUAUGAAGAAGGCCUUCGGGUUGUAAAGUACUUUCAGCGAGGAGGCGUUACUCGCAGAAGAAGCACCGGCUAACUCCGUGCCAGCAGCCGCGGUAAUUC
rnacentral:rRNA from 1 species